rnacentral:rRNA from 1 species
UACAGAGGUCCCAAGCGUUGUUCGGAUUCACUGGGCGUAAAGGGUGCGUAGGUGGUGAGGUAAGUCGGAUGUGAAAUCUCCGAGCUCAACUCGGAAAUGGCAUUGGAAACUACCUUGCUCGAGGGUUGGAGGGGGGACUGGAAUGCUUGGUGUAGCAGUGAAAUGCGUAGAUAUCAAGCGGAACACCAGUGGCGAAGGCGGCGUCCUGGACCAACACUGACACUGAGGAGCGAAAGCCAGGGGAGCAAACGGG